GCAAAUUCUAAGGUCAUUUUCUUGUUGUGUUUUGAUGUUUUCCAUUGGCUGAAGACUAAGAUGAGCCUGAAGAGGAGAUUUGGGAAGUCUUUGCUUUGCCAGAUCACCUGUGGUCGGGAUGUCUGCUAACAAGAUGCCUUGUUGGUCUGGGCGAGUUUGAAGUCUCUCACAGACAGUCCAGAAGGUCUGGAGUCCAUCUUAGCUUUUAUUGAUGCUGUCAUCAGAUUUUAAGUACAGUAUGAGCCAGAAUGGAAGGGUGUUGGUGGCCAUAAGAAGACUGUGAGCUAAACCUACAACAAAAUUCAUAUUUGCAGUUUUCCUAGAAUAUUUUUUUCUAUUCAGAUGAAUAAAAUUACUUUAAAAUAUUAUUUUGUUUUCAUAUUUUAUGUUUUUAUUCUGUAUUUGGAAUAUUCCACUUCUGCACUACUAACUGGAAACCUAACUGUUUGAAAGAAUUUGUUUUUAUCUAUAAAAGAUCAAUUUUAA